GACGUAGGGGGCGAGCGUUGCCCGGAUUCACUGGGCGUAAAGCGCGUGUAGGCGGUCUGUUAAGUCGGAUGUGAAAGCUCCGGACUCAACUCGGAAAUUGCAUCCGAUACUGGCAGACUUGAGGACGGUAGAGGUCGGUGGAAUACCAGGUGUACCGGUGAAAUGGGCAGAUAUCUGGUGGAACACCAGUGGCGAAGGCGGCCGACUGGGCCGAUCCUGACGCUGAGACGCGAAAGCCAGGGUAGCGAACCGG
rnacentral:rRNA from 1 species